GAUGAACGCUAGCUACAGGCUUAACACAUGCAAGUCGAGGGGCAUCACAGUGUAGCAAUACACGGGUGGCGACCGGCGCACGGGUGCGUAACACGUAUCCAAUCUGCCCGUUACUCGGGGAUAGCCUUCUGAAAGGAAGAUUAAUACCCGAUGGCAUGUAUUUCCGGCAUCGGAGAUACAUUAAAGAUUUAUCGGUAACGGAUGAGGAUGCGUACGAUUAGCUUGUUGGCGGGGUAACGGCCCACCAAGGCUACGAUCGUUAGGGGUUCUGAGAGGAAGGUCCCCCACACUGGAACUGAGACACGGUCCAGACUCCUACGGGAGGCAGCAGUGAGGAAUAUUGGUCAAUGGGCGCGAGCCUGAACCAGCCAAGUAGCGUGAAGGAUGACUGCCCUACGGGUUGUAAACUUCUUUUGUUUGGGAAUAAAUGAUACUACGUGUAGUAUUUUGCAUGUACCUUACGAAUAAGCAUCGGCUAAUUCCGUGCCAGCAGCCGCGGU
rnacentral:rRNA from 1 species